rnacentral:rRNA from 1 species
AUUGAACGCUGGCGGCAGGCUUAACACAUGCAAGUCGAGCGAGCGGCGGACGGGUGAGUAAUGUCUGGGAAACUGCCUGAUGGAGGGGGAUAACUACGGGAAACGGUAGCUAAUACCGCAUACCAUCAGAUGUGCCCAUAUGGGAUUAGCUAGUGGUUGGGGUAACGGCUCCACUAGGCGACGAUCCCUAGCUGGUCUGACAGGAUGACCCGCCACACUGGAACUGAGACACGGCCCAGACUCCUACGGGAGGCAGCAGUGGGGAAUAUUGCACAAUGGGCGCAAGCCUGAUGCAGCCAUGCCGCGUGUGUGAAGAAGGCCUUCGGGUUGUAAAGCACUUUCAGCGAGGAAGCGUUACUCGAAGAAGAAGCACCGGCUAACUCCGUGCCAGCAGCCGCGGUAAUAC